rnacentral:misc_RNA from 1 species
CCGAGUUUACAACUCCCAAACCCCUGUGAACAUACCACUUGUUGCCACGGCGGAUCAGCCCGCUCCCGGUAAAACGGGACGGCCCGCCAGAGGACCCCUAAACUCUGUUUCUAUAUGUAACUUCUGAGUAAAACCAUAAAUAAAUCA